UAGUCCACGCCGUAAACGAUGUGUGCUAGACGUUGGGGCCUUAGGCUUCAGUGUCGCAGCUAACGCGGUAAGCACACCGCCUGGGGAGUACGGCCGCAAGGUUAAAACUCAAAGGAAUUGACGGGGACCCGCACAAGCGGUGGAGCAUGUGGUUUAAUUCGAGGCAACGCGAAGAACCUUACCAGCCCUUGACAUCCCGAUCGCGGACUUAGGAGACUAAGUCCUUCAGCUUGGCUGGAUCGGUGACAGGUGCUGCACGGCUGUCGUCAGCUCGUGUCGUGAGAUGUUGGGUUAAGUCCCGCAACGAGCGCAACCCUCGUCCUUUGUUGCCAGCAGGUUAAGCUGGGCACUCUAAGGAAACUGCCGGUGAUAAACCGGAGGAAGGUGGGGAUGACGUCAAGUCUUCAUGGCCCUUAUGGGCUGGGCUACACACGUGCUACAAUGGCGGCGACAAUGGGCUGCGACUCUGCAAGGAGGAGCGAAUCCCCAAAAGCCGUCUCAGUUCGGAUUGGA
rnacentral:rRNA from 1 species